rnacentral:rRNA from 1 species
UAAUACAGAGACUGCAAGCGUUAUUCGGAUUCACUGGGCGUAAAGGGUGCGCAGGCGGCCGUGUGUGUAAGGUGUGAAAUCCCGGGGCUCAACCCCGGAACUGCGCCUUAAACUACAUGGCUAGAGUAUUGGAGAGGGUAGUGGAAUUCACGGUGUAGCAGUGAAAUGCGUAGAUAUCGUGAGGAACACCAGAGGCGAAGGCGACUACCUGGACAAUUACUGACGCUCAGGCACGAAAGCGUGGGGAGCAAAAGGGAUUAGAUACCCCUGUAGUCCACGCCCUAAACGGUGCACACUAGGUCUUGGCGGAUUCGACCCCACCAGGGCCCAAGCUAACGCGUUAAGUGUGCCGCCUGAGGACUACGGUCGCAAGACUAAAACUCAAAUGAAUUGACGG